AGCGAACGCUGGCGGCGUGCCUAAUACAUGCAAGUCGAACGGGGAAAGCUUUCGGGUGAGUACUAGUGGCGCACGGGUGAGUAACGCGUGGAUAAUCUGCCUUAGAGUGGGGGAUAACUAGUCGAAAGAUUAGCUAAUACCGCAUAAGACCACAAGAACUGCGGUUCAAGGGGUCAAAGGUUUUUCGCUCUAAGAUGAGUCCGCGUAAGAUUAGCUAGUUGGUAGGGUAACGGCCUACCAAGGCGACGAUCUUUAACUGGUCUGAGAGGAUGAUCAGUCACACUGGAACUGAGACACGGUCCAGACUCCUACGGGAGGCAGCAGUAGGGAAUAUUGCACAAUGGAGGAAACUCUGAUGCAGCGACGCCGCGUGAGUGAUGAAGGCCUUCGGGUCGUAAAGCUCUGUCGCAGGGGAAUAACACAAUGAAGGUACCCUGUAAGAAAGGAUCGGCUAACUUCGUGCCAGCAGCCGCCGCGGUAA
rnacentral:rRNA from 1 species